rnacentral:lncRNA from 1 species
UUUCUAUACAGUAGCAGCAGAAAUAUAAUUUUAUUUUAUUCUUCUUAAAAGAGUACACAUUGAUUUUGUAUAUAAUAAACUAUCUUAUAAUAAUGACUAUUCAUAAAAGAACAGCAUCUUUCAGCCUAAAAGGUAAGAAUGUGAUAUUGUUAGAAGGUAAAGUACCCCUCCAUUAAAGGUUCCUAAGAAGUUUUUGUCUUAAAAGAAUUCCUGCUUCAAGGUGCUUGCAGUCAGGGGAAUACAUAUCUGCAUCUGUUAUGCACAGCACAGGUUUGGAAGGUAACCUAUGUCAUUUCAAGGUCUAGAUGGUCAGGUCUAAAUCCUUGUUUGAGGCUGAAGAACAUACCCACAGGUUAAAAGCAGCAGGUGGUCUCAUUAAGGUGGCCUCUACGCUUUCACGGUUUGGACUAGGCACCUAACAGUCUUGUUUCCUUGUAUUUUUUGAAAGCGAAUUAGCUCUUAGAAGACCUUAGGGAUGAAGACAGUAUCCAAUGAUUGUGGGCACAAUCAGUGGCCACUCUUGCAUGCCAGCAGCCAGCCAGAGCCUGACACCAGAGUUUCUCUGAUGCUGCCAUAUGGUGCAUACACCAGGGCACCCCAGUCGUGACAGACAAAUCUGCCUUUAGGAAGCCAUCUGCACUGGGCCUGGAGCAAUAAAGACAUCUUCUGUAAAAAAGAAAUGGGACUUACUGUCUCAAAUCCUGCUUACGUUCUGGGGCAGAAUUAUGCAGCAAGUCCCAGAAGGUGCAGAGUUACAUGGGAAAUUGACAGCCUCAAAAAUAGUCCUCUCUGGCUCGGUCUUGCUCACUUAGGCAGUAAGACUUUUUGGGUGGAGCCAAACUAUACAGUGUUUGUACAGGACCUAACACACUGGGCUCCAAGUUGAUGACAUGGACUCGUAUAUGCUAUUGCAUUUCAAAAUACUAAGAAGCUAUUUGGUUAUAAUAUUAUUAUCCUGUGGAUGCCAGAAAGUGCAAAUGGUGUUUUUUAAAAACCUCAAAAACCAUUAAUCUAGCUCUGUAGAGUUGCUGUGUAAUGAAUAGUCACUUUCCAGCUAGUCAGAAGUCUAAUUACAGCUCACUUGCAAGAAGACAAUUUAUCUGCAGACUCAGUUUACAGUGCAGGCACACACAUGCACAUGGAAGUGCAUGAUGAAUGGUGAUGAAUCCAUGAUUCCCUUCUAUAUUCCUUUCUCAAAGCAUGGGAUUUGGUAUCUGUUCAAAGCACAAAAGAGAGGAUAAACAAGCAUCAGUCAUUUCUAAUAAGAGAAGUUCAGUAAAGAGAAGCAAACAAAAUCUGUAUUCAGUUUACGCUACUCAUAAAAGAAACAAAUUCAAAUGUCGAGCUUUCGAGAAAAAGCAGUGAGAAAAAAACCCUUAAGGGUAAAAAAAAAAAAAAAAAAAUAAAAAGAGAGAGAGAACAAAACAAAAAACCACAAACAAAAAACAAACCAAUAAACCAAAACAACAAAAAAAA